GAUGGGCUCGCGGCCUAUCAGCUUGUUGGUGAGGUAAUGGCUCACCAAGGCGUCGACGGGUAGCCGGCCUGAGAGGGUGACCGGCCACACUGGGACUGAGACACGGCCCAGACUCCUACGGGAGGCAGCAGUGGGGAAUAUUGCACAAUGGGCGGAAGCCUGAUGCAGCAACGCCGCGUGAGGGAUGACGGCCUUCGGGUUGUAAACCUCUUUUAGCAGGGAAGAAGCGAGAGUGACGGUACCUGCAGAAAAAGCACCGGCUAACUACGUGCCAGCAGCCGCGGUAAUACGUAGGGUGCAAGCGUUAUCCGGAAUUAUUGGGCGUAAAGAGCUCGUAGGCGGUUUGUCGCGUCUGCUGUGAAAUCCCGAGGCUCAACUUCGGGCUUGCAGUGGGUACGGGCAGACUAGAGUGCGGUAGGGGAGAUUGGAAUUCCUGGUGUAGCGGUGGAAUGCGCAGAUAUCAGGAGGAACACCGAUGGCGAAGGCAGA
rnacentral:rRNA from 1 species